AGAGUUUGAUCAUGGCUCAGGACGAACGCUGGCGGCGUGCCUAACACAUGCAAAGCCGCGAACGGGUGAGUAACACGUGGGUAACCUGCCCUGAUGAUUGGGACAACCCGGGGAAACUCGGGCUAAUACCAAAUGUUCUCUCCGGCUCCAAGGCCGGUGAGGAAAGGUAGCUUCGGCUUCCGCAUCAGGAUGGGCCCGCGGCCCAUUAGCUUGUUGGUGGGGUAACGGCCUACCAAGGCUUCGAUGGGUAGCUGGUCUGAGAGGACGAUCAGCCACACUGGGACUGAGACACGGCCCAGACUCCUACGGGAGGCAGCAGUGGGGAAUCUUGCACAAUGCGCGAAAGCGUGAUGCAGCAACGCCGCGUGGGGGAAGAAGGCCUUCGGGUUGUAAACCCCUUUCAGUUGGGACGAAGCUUCAGCGGUGAACAGCCGCUCGGAGUGACGGUACCUUCAGAAGAAGCCCCGGCUAACUACGUGCCAGCCGCCGCGGUAAUAC
rnacentral:rRNA from 1 species